AGUGAACGCUGGCGGCGUGCCUAAUACAUGCAAGUCGAACGAUGAAGUCCUAGCUUGCUAGGAUGGAUUAGUGGCGCACGGGUGAGUAAUAUAUAGUUAAUCUGCCCUACACAGAGUAACAACAGUUGGAAACGACUGCUAAUACCUCAUACUCCUAUUUGACAUAAGUUAAAUAGGGAAAGUCUUUUCGGUGUAGGAUGAGACUAUAUCGUAUCAGCUAGUUGGUAAGGUAAUGGCUUACCAAGGCUAUGACGCGUAACUGGUCUGAGAGGAUGAUCAGUCACAUUGGAACUGAGACACGGUCCAAACUCCUACGGGAGGCAGCAGUAAGGAAUAUUGCGCAAUGGGGGAAACCCUGACGCAGCAACGCCGCGUGGAGGAUGACACUUUUCGGAGCGUAAACUCCUUUUAUCAGGAAAGAAUAAUGACGGUACCUGAUGAAUAAGCACCGGCUAACUCCGUG
rnacentral:rRNA from 1 species